rnacentral:rRNA from 1 species
UACAGAGGGUGCAAGCGUUGUUCGGAAUUAUUGGGCGUAAAGGGCGCGUAGGCGGUGCGGUAAGUCUGCGGUGAAAUCUCCCGGCUCAACUGGGAGUCUGCCGUGGAAACUGCCGUGCUUGAGUGUGGGAGAGGUGAGUGGAAUUCCCGGUGUAGCGGUGAAAUGCGUAGAUAUCAGGAGGAACACCGGUGGCGAAGGCGGAUCUCUGGGCCGAUACUGACGCUGAGGAGCGAAAGCGUGGGGAGCGAACAGG